UGAGGAAUAUUGGGCAAUGCCCGCAAGGGUGACCCAGCAACGCCGCGUGGAGGAUGAAUGUCGUAAGAUUGUAAACUCCUGUUAGAGGGGAAGAAUAGUACCGGUUGGACCGGUAUAUGACUGUACCCUCAGAGAAAGCCCCGGCUAACUACGUGCCAGCAGCCGCGGUAAUACGUAGGGGGCAAGCGUUGUCCGGAUUUACUGGGUGUAAAGGGCGCGCAGGCGGGAUAAAAAGUCAGUGGUGAAAUCCUACAGCUUAACUGUAGAAUUGCCUUUGAUACUUUUAUUCUUGAGUUCGGGAGAGAGAGACGGAAUUCCAGGUGUAGUGGUGAAAUACGUAGAUAUCUGGAAGAACACCAGUUGCGAAGGCGGUCUCUUGGUCCGACACUGACGCUGAGGCGCGAAAGCGUGGGGAGCAAACA
rnacentral:rRNA from 1 species